GUCUCAUAAAACCAAAAAAAAAAAAAAGUAAUGAAAGACCCCCAGAGUGGGGAGACCCUCACUCAAGUCUUGGGAUAAGCCGACGCCCCAGUAAUUCAAGAGAGACC
rnacentral:pre_miRNA from 11 species